UACGUAGGGGGCUAGCGUUGUCCGGAAUCAUUGGGCGUAAAGCGCGUGUAGGCGGGGGGUCAAGUGGGGUAUGAAAGGGCGUGGCUCAACCACGCUAGGUUAUGCCAGACUGGCUCUCUUGAGGACGAAACAGGGCUGUGGAAUUCCGGGUGUAGUGGUGAAAUGCGUAGAGAUCCGGAGGAACACCGGUGGCGAAGGCGGCUUCCUGGACCGAUUACUGACGCUGAGGCGCGAAAGCUAGGGGAGCAAACGGG
rnacentral:rRNA from 1 species